rnacentral:lncRNA from 1 species
GCUCUAAAAGUUGGAUUAAGAUCUUUACUUCAGCAGCUGAGGUCAGUGGCUCCUGUCGUUUGGUCUGCACUUCUCCUCACUCAGAGACUGGUCCCAAAUACAGACCCUCAGCCUAAGAAACAGUCACACUCAGGAAACUGGGAAAAAGAGUCCUGAGGGCAGAAAGAAAUGAGAUCUACCUGGUGGAGGCAGAACAAAAAGAUUAUACCACCUGUGUAAGUAAACAAGAGCAGCACUUUGUGUCAUUUUAUGCUUUUGCCUAUUGAAAGAAAAAAAAAGUACUGCAGACACUUCUGAAAUUAUAAAUCAUUUGAG